rnacentral:rRNA from 1 species
GGUCAUGGCGCUUUUAUCAGAUCAAGACCAAUCGCCCGGCCCGUCCGGGCGUUGUCAUGAUGAAUCUGGAUAACACAGCAGAUCGCAUGGUCCUCGUACCGGCGACUUAUCUUUCAAAUGCCUGACUUAUCAACUGACGAUGGUAGACUCUGUGUCUACCAUGGCUGUUACGGGUAACGGGGAAUCAGGGUUCGAUUCCGGAGAGGGAGCCUGAGAAACGGCUACCACAUCCAAGGAAGGCAGCAGGCACGCAAAUUACCCACUCCCGGAACGGGGAGGUAGUGACAAAAAAUAACGAUACGGGACUCGAUAUGAGGCCUCGUAAUCGGAAUGAGUACACUCUAAAUCCUUUAACAAAAAUCUAUUGGAGGGCAAGUCUGGUGCCAGCAGCCGCGGUAAUUCCAGCUCCAAUAGCGUAUAUUAAAGUUGUUGCGGUUAAAAAGCUCGUAGUUGGUUCUGCGUCCCGCGCUGUCGGUACACCGUUUGUCGGUGACACUGGCAUGACGCGUGAUGUCCUGUCGGUGGCGGCAGAGACCGUACGCUGUGGAUUCUUCCGCGGCGUGUCGGCCUUCUGUCGCCGACUAUAUCCUACCGCGGUGCUCUUCAUUGAGUGUCGAGGUAGGCCGACACGUUUACUUUGAACAAAUUAGAGUGCUUCAAGCAGGCAAAAAUCUCUGCCAGAAUAGUAGUGCAUGGAAUAAUGGAACAGGACCUUGGUUCUAUUCUGUUGGUCUCCGGAACACAAGGUAAUGAUCAAUAUGGACAGGCGGGGGCAUUCGUAUUGCGGCUUGAUGACUCGGCGGGGAGCUUUCCCCGGGAAACCAAAGCUUUUGGGUUCCGGGGGAAGUAUGGUUGCAAAGCUGAAACUUAAAGGAAUUGACGGAAGGGCACCACCAGAAGUGGAGCCUGCGGCUUAAUUUGACUCAACACGGGAAACCUCACCAGGUCAGGACAUUGGAAUGAUUGACAGAUUGAUAGCUCUUUCUUGAUUCAGUGGGUAGUGGUGCAUGGCCGUUCUUAGUUGGUGGAUCGAUUUGUCUGGUUAAUUCCGAUAACGAACGAGACUCUAGCCUAUUAACUAGACGCGUUUGGUAUCGAAUCUACCGGCGAACUAUAUUCUUCUUAAGGGGACAGGCGGCUUUUAGCCGCACGAGAUUGAGCAAUAACAGGUCUGUGAUGCCCUUAGAUGUCCUGGGCCGCACGCGCGCUACACUGAAGGAAUCAGCGUGUGCGUUCCCUUGGCCGAAAGGUCCGGGUAACCCGCUGAACCUCCUUCGUGCUAGGAAUUGGGGCUUGCAAUUCUUCCCCAUGAACGAGGAAUUCCCAGUAAGCGCGAGUCAUAAGCUCGCGUUGAUUACGUCCCUGCCCUUUGUACACACCGCCCGUCGCUACUACCGAUUGAAUGAUUUAGUGAGGUCUUCGGACUGGCGGUAAGCCCAACCGGCAUUGUCGGUUUUGUCGAACGCUGGAAAGAUG